rnacentral:rRNA from 1 species
AACGAACGCUGGCGGCAUGCCUAACACAUGCAAGUCGAACGAGACCUUCGGGUCUAGUGGCGCACGGGUGCGUAACGCGUGGGAACCUGCCCUUAGGUUCGGAAUAACUCCCCGAAAGGGGUGCUAAUACCGGAUAAUGUCUUCGGACCAAAGAUUUAUCGCCUUUGGAUGGGCCCGCGUUGGAUUAGCUAGUUGGUAGGGUAAAAGCCUACCAAGGCGACGAUCCAUAGCUGGUCUGAGAGGAUGAUCAACCACACUGGGACUGAGACACGGCCCAGACUCCUACGGGAGGCAGCAGUGGGGAAUAUUGGACAAUGGGCGAAAGCCUGAUCCAGCAAUGCUGCGUGAGUGAUGAAGGCCUUAGGGUUGUAAAGCUCUUUUACCCGGGAUGAUAAUGACAGUACCGGGAGAAUAAGCUCCGGCUAACUCCGUG